AUGGCUCAGAGAUGUGUAUUGGAGCGUGUCAUGUAUGAAUAUCAGAAACUUGAAAAAAUGUUUUGUCUGUUUUCUUAUAAUGCCACCAUGGAGACCAAGCAAGAGUGCAUUCUCAAGGGGCUAUGCAUCUACCUGAAUGAAGAUGAAUAUGAUGGAGUAUUUGGAUGAUAACCCUGCAAGAACCGAAGCGGACAUGAAGAAGACCUUUUAGGGAUUCUGUGAUGUAAAGCAUGAAUUUGCUGAUUCAACAGAAGACCCUGAAGAUAUCUGCAUUGUGCUGGAAUAUGUGGAGGUGCUUUCUGGUUUAGGUAAUGUAGCAUUGGCUACAGCCAUGCUACUUGGACUAAUAUACUCUUUAAAUCUUACUCAUCCACAGGCAGUGUUGGGUGUAACGCGUUACAAAGUAACGCGUUACUGUAAUAAUAUUACUUUUUUCAGUAACUAGUAGUGUAAGGCAUUACUCGUCUGAAAAUGGUAAUAUUAUUACAGUUUUCCCAAGCUAGUUACUUGCGUUACAUUUGCCAGUAGCACCUUCAUCACACACACAAGGCACACAACACAGAGAACAGAAGGGAAGGGAAGGAGGGCGUGAAUGGAACAGUGAUUGGUCUGGGUUUGGCACGAGGUAUCAUUUACCAUCACUGAUUGGUCGACAGCCGGCAGCAGAGCGGCACGCUCAGACAGAUGGGGAAAAUGGAAGCGUCAACAACGGCAAGCUCUUUUUCAGAGGAAGGUUCCCAGCAACAGAAAGCUAGUUUCGACGGGUGGAGAUUCAGUAAUUAUUUUGUAGGAGUGCUCCGAUCACGAUCGGCCGCUCGUUAAUGCGCAUCUCAGUAAAGCCGGUUCUCUAAAGCGGUUUAUUCCAUCAGGUGCGUGAACCAUAUGUUCAUACAACCGUGCCAAUAAACGCUGAAAAUGAACGUGGAUUUGCGCAUCUUCUCAGUUAAUAACGGCUCUGUGUAGUAACAGCUGCUCUAUGUGAAAUCACGCACCUGAUGGAAUUAACCGCUGAUUAGAGAACAGGUGUACUGACGAGCAGUAAUAUAAGUGAGUUGUGUAAACAGUGAUUUAUGUGACUUCAAUUAUUUCUUAUUAAACUGAAAUCGAAAAGUAAAAAGUAUUUUUUGGAAAAACCACAUCCUGGUGUUAGUCUUCAUAUGCUGCUGAAUAGUGUUAACACGGAUAUAGAAAAAUAAGGAGUGCAAGAGAUUGAUUCCUAAUGUCAGUUUAUUUUUAAUUAAUACUACAGUAGUUCGGUUCCCUUUACAUCUUUAACUACCCGUUAAUUUAUCAAUUGAAUGGGUGACCUAUCCUCAUUAAUAGAGCAAACAUUUGUCCCCCCUGAGAGAAUUGGCAGGAGCCGCCACUGAUAAAGACCCUAAAGAACACUCCUCCUUUGUAUGUUCUCCCUCCAUCUGAUGCAUCUCAGGCAAUCAUAGAGUAAUUAAGAAAAAAAGAUGUAACUAGUAAUAUAACUAGUAAUAUAACUAGUUACUUUCUCCAGGGAGUAAUAAAGUAAAGUAAGGCAUUACUAUUUUUGAGAGUAAUAUGUAAUAUGUAAUAUAUUACUUUUUUGAGUAACUAGCCCCAACACUGUCCACAGGAGAUCCAUUACACUUUUAAGGUGCUCCAAAAAAUGAUUCUCGAGCUGAACUUGUGUAAAUUGUCUGCCAAAGCACAGGCGCAGAAAACAAAGCUCUUCACUUAGGUGUGCUGUGCUUGAGGAUCCCUUUGUGAAUGCUGUGUUUUAUUUCCUUGUAUGCUCAUGUGAUUUUGUUGUAUCUGAAUUUUUGCACGAUGAGCAGAGGUGAUUACGUCUCUCAAUCACAUUUAAUAUCAUGUUUAAGAAAACAAAAUAAAAUAACAUUUUGUUAUAUUCUUAUAUGCUCAUGUUUUAUUUGAAUUGUCAUUUUUGUAACUUAAUGAGCAUGUUUAAUUGCCAUAUUUGCAGUUUUAAGCAAGAAGACACUCAAGGUUAAAUGUGCUCGUGUUUUAAAUACAGAUUUUUACUAAAUGGAUUGACUUUUAACAUAUUGACUUUCUUCACAGUAGACUAUAGGUAUACAGUAAAAAGGUUUUAAUGUAAUAGAACACAAUUAUUUCACUUUCAUUUGGAAGUAACUGUAGAGUAAGUUAGAUAAGUGUAAUGAUUUAAAUUGU
rnacentral:lncRNA from 1 species